rnacentral:lncRNA from 1 species
UUUGAAGUUCACACAAGUAAGGACAAAAAGAUUUGAACCACUGUUUGUCCAUAUCCAAUACCUUCUCUCAUUGGGUAGUUCACAGGUGUUUAUGAAGUAGGGACCUGGAAUUGAAUAGACUCCUAGAGGAAAGAAAGAAGUUUGAAAGACCACGAAGAGUGAUUGUGAAACCAGACAGAAGAAGAGAACAGCAAAUAUUUGAGAGAACUUAACAUGUACUCCUCAAGGGCUGUCUGUUAUGAGGCACCGUAAGCCAAGAGAGCUCCUCUCUAGGAGAACCCUGACAGAGGGAAGGUUACGAUCAGCUGUGUCAGUCAGACACCAUUAUGCAGUGGAAGACUGAGCACUUUCCCCUGUGAUCCAGUGGCACCAUUUCUAAAGUAGGAAAACUUUAAUCUGAAAAACUGAUAACAAUAGAGACAUGUAUCUUACAGGUAAAUAUAUGAG